AGGAACUGAUUAUGAGUCUGCUGACUUCAGAAGCCUUUGGAGCUGUUUCUUAGAGUUUAAGUCAUUCCUGUUUAUUCCUGCAACAUUCAGAAGGGCAAAGCGGGAGUUGUGAGUUCUGCACAAUGCACUCCUUGUACAGCGCAGACAGGGACUGGGAAUGUGCCUGCAGCAGCUUGUCAUGAAGUCCAGCAUGCGUCACUUGCCCUGGGGGGAAUGAAGAAGAGACUGCCAGACCCAUAGCUCCUCCCUCCUCUGAAAAUUCGAGAGGCAUCCGAAUAUUGCUGGAAAUCCUGUUGCUGGAACCAGGAGUUGUUUUCCAAGCAGGAGCCAUUGACGUGAACCAUGUAUUGAUUCAAACAUUCAGAUUAUAGCCAACCUCUUCAACAUGCCUUUUAUAAGAAGUGUCUAAAUAGGAAGUGUAUCAUGCCCUUACUCUAUUUGAAAAGACGCUUGAAAUCUAAAAAUGGCAGUAGCAAAGUAUUUGAACACCCUCAGCAUUAUUCCAGCCUCUAACUAGGCCAAGUUAUAAAUUUAUUAGCAGUAGCAGUAGUAUCCAUGCUUUUAUGUUUAAGUUUCUAAUUCUCUUAAGAUGGAGGGUGAUAUUCUCAUCUCCUUUGUAAAUGUGGAUAAAACAAAAUUGUUUCUUGUUCUAAGAGUAUAUGUGAACAAUAUCAGUGAUGACUGAUGAUGUUGUCAAGGAAGUCAGAGAUUAUUAAAACUAUGUAGAUAUAAAACUUUAAUUUUAAUGUCCCAAACCCUUUCAGAAGUUUGGGUAUUCAAACUAUUUAGACAUCAAAGCCAGCUGUAUUCUUCUAAAUAAAUUCUUGGAUCUGGACCACACUGUUUUCUUGGUUUUGUGGCCCUGAUCCCAUGGGUAUGAAAGCAAAUAAUACUUUUGACUUUUGCAUACUUUGUUUUGUAUCACAAAUAACCAAGAAAUCCCGUAUAUAGUAAAUCCCUCCUUCUCACUCAUACACACAAAUAAACAAGGAAAAAACCCUGUUUAGCUAACCUGACGUCCCUAACAUAAUUAUUUUUGCACUUAACUGCAGAGCAACACAUUCAAACUCUGAGGUUCCACGAAAAAUUUUCCUCUGGUUUUAUAAAUAAGCGAUUGUGUUUCUGCUUUCUGAAGGGUUCAUAAGGUGAAAACAUGCACUUUUUCCCUGUAUGGUUUUCCUUGCACACCCCAUGAAUACAAAACAUGUCUUAAGAAAUAAAGUUUGUUUGUUUGUUUUCAUUUAAAUAAAGUCUGGAAUGUAUGUAGUUUAAUAAAGGGAAUGUGCUGAAAGUAAAAGAC